GACUUAUUAGGUCAAAUGAUUAGAUUGUUGUGCUAAUAAUGCGAAAGUCACAAGUUCAAUUCUUGUAUGGGCCA
rfam:Glycine max cultivar Williams 82 chromosome 5, whole genome shotgun sequence.